UCAGGUUGCUCAAAGGUUUAUCAUGCUAAAGAACAUCCAUCAUUAUCUGGAAUCAACACCCAAAUGGUUGAACAAAACAAUUCGAAGCUACAGAAAUUGAAGAGCCAGUUGUCCUAUAUGAACUAUGAUAAUUUCAUCCUCCAUUUAAAUUUUUUUUUGUGGUAUUGUAACUAUAAAACUUGUCCCAGUUAAGGUUAUUUGUUAACAAAUGACUAUGAAUCAAUCUAAGAACAAUCCUAUUUAUUUGACCAUCUGCUAAUAGGAAAUAAUUUUAUCAAUAAUUUUACUAAUAAUUAAUGCAGAAAUAUAUCAAGAGAA
rnacentral:lncRNA from 1 species